rnacentral:snRNA from 1 species
GGAUAUGAGGGCGACCAAGCUGAGACAUCUGUCACACCACCAUUGUUUUCCAAGGUUCAUUUGGUUGAUCUGGCUGGCUAAAAAACUGUUCCCUUCCUCCCUCACUGUUCCAUGUGUGUCCUUCCUGAAGCUGCAUGCUUGUCUAUUCGGCUUCCCCGAAUAGACAAGGGCCAUUCUUCAGUACAGAGUAUGCAAGUAGCUGUGCUCCCCUACUAGAACCUUCAAAUAAGCUCUCAAGGUCCAAGGAGAAAUAAGACCAACUGGGAAACUAAAGCAGGAAGAGCAGAAUUCUGGAUGACAUCACCAAAUAUUU